GGGCGUAUGGUCUAGAGGUAUGAUACCUGCUUUGGGUUUGUAUAUCCAGUUGCAGGGGGUCUUCGGUUCGAAUCCGGAUUCGCCCC
rnacentral:tRNA from 1 species